GGGCGCGUAGCUCAGUUGGUUAGAGCGCAUCAUUCACAUUGAUGAGGUUCGAGGGUUCGAGCCCCCCCGCGCCCA
rnacentral:tRNA from 1 species